AGAGGAAAGGCAACAUAUAGACUCCACUUCCAUGGACACCUUCUAAGUGUAAUCUGGCAACAACAUAAGGUUUAUAUUUGUCUGGCAGGUAUGAGGGAUCAAACCCUCAUUGUCUUUUGGAUCAGACAACACCUCUAUUUUGA